GGAGGGUAUGCGAAUUGGUGAGCAGCCACACUGGAGAUGUGGUGCCCCUUAUGGGGUUGCGGGUUCGAGUCCCGUGCCCUCCG
rnacentral:tRNA from 1 species